UGCCCAUCAGCUCAAUCUUAUCAUGCAACAGGCUACCUCCCACGUAGUCAAAGUCAAAAACUUUUUUUCCGACCUGGGUGGAUUUUCUGCGUUUUUUUCAAGAUCCCCCAAGCGGACCAGUGUGCUUGAUGAGGUAGUGGCCCAUAGACUACCAACAGCCAGCACUGUGAGAUGGAACUUUCACAGCCGUGCCGUCAAUACUGUGUUUGAGCAAAGAGAACACCUCGUUGAAUGCUUUGAAAGAAUUCGAGCAUCAGGUGGCUUUGAUGACAAGACCAGCCAAGAAGCAGGAGGCUACAUCAGGCUACUGGAGGAUCCUCAGUUCAACUUCUUCCUGCAACUGUUUCAUAAAAUAAUGCCACACGUGGACGUCCUCUAUGCCAAGCUCCAGAAGAGAGACAUAGAUUCAGUCCAUAUAGAAAGAUGCAUCCAGCAGUUCCAAGAGGACAUACAAAAAAUCAGAGAUUCUCUCCAUGCAAUGGUGGUGGAGCAAAGCAGUGGCUCUCAGCAGCCGAGGAAGCGCCGGGCUGUGUCGGAAGAUGAGCUUAGAAGGAUUGCUGCUGAGGUAUGUGACACCAUACUUGGACACACCAAGGAACGCUUUACCUUCAAAGACCACCUCAUCAGUGCCACCUUACUGCAGGGCAACCAGUUUGAAUGCUACCUCAAGGUAUUCCCUGAAGUUGCUUUGGCCACCACAUUGAAGGCCUAUCCAAUUCUGGAUGGAGGCAAGCUGAAGACAGAGCAUGGCCUCAUCUAUGG